UACGGAGGGAGCUAGCGUUGUUCGGAAUUACUGGGCGUAAAGCGCACGUAGGCGGCUUUGUAAGUUAGAGGUGAGAGCCUGGAGCUCAACUCCAGAACUGCCUUUAAAACUGCAUCGCUUGAAUCCAGGAGAGGUGAGUGGAAUUCCGAGUGUAGAGGUGAAAUUCGUAGAUAUUCGGAAGAACACCAGUGGCGAAGGCGGCUCACUGGACUGGUAUUGACGCUGAGGUGCGAAAGCGUGGGGAGCAAACAGG
rnacentral:rRNA from 1 species